AGCGUGAGCGUGAGCGUGAGCGUGAAUUAUAACAUACAAGACCAGUGACAGCGACAGCGACUGCCCAGGCUGACCUUUAUGGUUUAUUUAUUAUUUAUUGUUGAUUUUGUGUCCGUGAUUUGUUUUUGUUUAAACCUUUUAUUUUCGCUCGGUGAGCACAGUCUUUUCUGUUUAAAUAUUUAUUUUAUUUUUGGUUUGCUUAAUAAAAAUGGCAAACGCCAGUUGAACUGCAGUACGUACCCGGUGUCAGUAUUUUGUUCCUGCUUCUGCCUGACGUCAGACCACUCGUCCAUCCCUGUCUCAGAUGCACAUAGCUUUUCUGACUGAUUUGUGUACUUUUCAGUGUACACAGGUAAGAAAGAUUAUUGGUGUCGUUUUGGGAGAACUCGUGUUACAUUUGACACCAAAACAGUUCAGUUGCACUGUUGAUGUAAAGGCAGUCAAAAAAUGACACGAUGUGUUCACAGAUAUAUCUCAAUGUGGUAUAUUUAUCAAGAACGCAGAGAUUUAGUAGGUGUAAUCAGAACACAGAAAAAUGUGACUGAAGAAGCAGACAGUGACAGCAUGGAUGAGAAAUGUUUUGAUUUGGAUGGUCCCUGCUUUGCUGUCCAUGAAUAUCCCCCAGACAAAGAACAUGUCGUUAAGAUGGUUAAUUACUUAUGGAUGAUAAACAUAUUCCAGAAGAAUUACCAGAUGACAUUUCAAAACAUGAAAAAGAAUUACCAGAACAAUUUAUGCCAUAUGAAACUACCUGCCCUUCUUGUCCUGGAUCAACCUCACCUCAACUUAGCAAAAAUGCAGUUUGUAUGGACUUUAAGGUCCACAAAGGCAUCAACAUGUAUGUGAAGAUGUGCCCAGUCUGUGAAACUCCUGUCCGUUUUCAAGACUACAAUUCUGGAUUACAUCAUUUUAAUGACCGUUUUUUUCUAAGUCUUCCCCUGUGCAUUCUUCUAACAGCAGCACUAAAGAACCACACAGCAGUUGGCCGCUUCCUGACCACAAUGGAAGAUUUUAUGGGCAUUCAAGUACAUCAUGAUACUUCAUUUUUCUGCACUGAGACAAUACUCAUACUACACUUUCGAUGUGGUCAUCACCCACCUGUUAUCAUUGCAGAUGCACAUUCUUAUUUGAUUUCUGGAAUGAUUUACAAGUCCAGUAGCCAAGAGAAACAAGAGCUGAAAACACCUAAUCAGAAUAAAGAUCAUUUGUUAAUAUCCAACAAAAAUAUAGUACAAUUGCAUUUAUUUUAAAAUCCUUUACACUCCUAGUCAGUCUGUUCAAGAGACCAAAGGUGGAUGAUGUACCUAAAGAGGAUCAUGUUGUUGACGUUGAGACCACGUGGCAAAAUAUGGAGCAGGAACUUAUUGCAUAUGGCCAAAGUGAUGGUGCUGCUGGUAAAAAUCCCUUUUCUAGACCUUUGUCUUAUUCAGCUUUUAUACCGUGGAUUGGUGCUGCAAGUAGGCUAGGUCAAACACUGCCAAAAACUGAAGCAUUAAAGGGCAUGCCAAGCAGAAAAACUGAGGAGUGCCAAAUUAAAGACUCAAUCAGAAUUGAUGAGGACAAGCUAAUAAGAACAUAAGAAAGUUUACAAACGAGAGGAGGCCAUUCAGCCCAUCUUGCUCGUUUGGUUGUUAGUAGCUUAUUGAUCCCAGAAUCUCAUCAAGCAGCUUCUUGAAGGAUCCCACGGUGUCGGCUUCAACAACAUUACUGGGGCGUUGGUUCCAGACCCUCAGAAUUCUCUGUGUAAAAAAAAACACAAUAUUCUAGGCUAGUAGAGGUCAACUGGCGGAAACAUGUCUGGUAUAGGUUCUAGAACAGACCUUAUCAAUAGACUACAGGAGCUAUUGCUCUAUAAAGACAUUUAUCCAAAGAUGUUUGUUAAACUGCAAAAAACUGGAGGUAGGAAUUAACUGAUAAUCACUAAAUUACUGAUUUUCCUCUUUAAUUACUACAGAAAAAGAUGGCAAUGUUUAUUUUUAUAACUGAAUAUUAUACAUUUGACUAUUUCUAUUUCCUCCUAUUGUUCUCUGAAGGUGGUGUGUUACACAUGGGAUGCAUGCACUCUGUGGUAUAUUACCACUCUCCUCUUUGGUGGCAAGAGUCUGCCACGAGAUCACACUGAUGCAUUACUGAGUUUCAAACACCCUCCAAACAUGUACAUAUCUGACAUUGCCGGUAGAGUUGCAAGACACACCAAUAACCGUACAGAACAGAAGUGUUUUGAAUCGAGUCAUUACUUUAUAUGUGAAAUGAGAGACAUUCAUUUUAUUUCUGCAUUGAGGCUAAUCUUUCACCUUCACAAUGAAAAGAUAAAUUGGCAGCAGUGUGGAGUAGUGGAUAGGGCUCUGGACUCUUGACUGGAGGGUUGUGGGUUCAAUCCCUGGUAGGGGACACUGAUGCUGUACCCUUGAGCAAGGUACUUUACCUAGAUUGCUCCAGUAAAAACCCAACUGUAUAAAUGGGUAAUUGUAUGUAAAAAUAAUGUGAUAUCUUGUAACAAUUGUAAGUCGCCCUG